rnacentral:sRNA from 1 species
CGAAAGCCUGACGGAGCAAUACCGCGUGAGGGAGGAAGGCUCUUGGGUUGUAAACCUCUUUUCUCAGGGAAGAAUUCAAUGACGGUACCUGAGGAAUAAGCAUCGGCUAACUCCGUGCCAGCAGCCGCGGUAAUACGGAGGAUGCAAGCGUUAUCCGGAAUGAUUGGGCGUAAAGCGUCCGCAGGUGGCAUUGCAAGUCUGCUGUCAAAGGUCAGGGCUUAACCCUGAAAAGGCAGUGGAAACUGAAAUGCUGGAGUGCGGUAGGGGUAGAGGGAAUUCCCGGUGUAGCGGUGAAAUGCGUAGAGAUCGGGAAGAACACCAGUGGCGAAGGCGCUCUACUAGGCCGCAACUGACACUCAUGGACGAAAGCUAGGGGAGCGAAUGGGAUUAGAUACCCCAGUAGUCCUAGCUGUAAACGAUGGAUACUAGGCGUUGAGAGUAUCGACCCUCUCAGUGUCGUAGCUAACGCGUUAAGUAUCCCGCCUGGGGAGUACGCGCGCAAGCGUGAAACUCAAAGGAAUUGACGGGGGCCCGCACAAGCGGUGGAGUAUGUGGUUUAAUUCGAUGCAACGCGAAGAACCUUACCAGGGCUUGACAUGUCCGGAACCCUGCCCAAAGGCGGGGGUGCCUACGGGAACCGGAACACAGGUGGUGCAUGGCUGUCGUCAGCUCGUGUCGUGAGAUGUUGGGUUAAGUCCCGCAACGAGCGCAACCCUCGUUUUUAGUUGCCAGCAUUAAGUUGGGCACUCUAGAGAGACUGCCGGUGACAAACCGGAGGAAGGUGGGGAUGACGUCAAGUCAGCAUGCCCCUUACGUCCUGGGCUACACACGUACUACAAUGCUACGGACAAAGGGAAGCAAGCGUGCGAAUGCAAGCAAAUCCCAUAAACCGUGGCUCAGUUCAGAUUGCAGGCUGCAACUCGCCUGCAUGAAGGCGGAAUCGCUAGUAAUCGCCGGUCAGCCAUACGGCGGUGAAUACGUUCCCGGGCCUUGUACACACCGCCCGUCACACCAUGGAAGCUGGCUAUGCCCGAAGUCGUUACCCUAACCGCGUGCGGAGGGGGAUGCCGAAGGCAGAGCUGGUGACUGGGGUGAAGUCGUAACAAGGUAGCCGUACCGGAAGGUGUGGCUGGAUCACCUCCUUUACAGGGAGACCAACUGAAAGGAUGAAGGAGGAAGGAGGAAGGAGGAAGCUUGAAACUUCAGCCCAAAUCACUUCAAACAACCCAACAAGUACCCUUCACCAUUCAGAUAUCCCAGGUCGGUCGCAGGAAAAAAGUGAGGCUUUCAAACUAUAAUCGAGGUGAAGGUGAUGAGGGGCUAUUAGCUCAGGUGGUUAGAGCGCACCCCUUGAUAAGGGUGAGGUCCCUGGUUCGAGUCCCAGGAUGGCCCACCUAAAAACAGCGGGGGUAUAGCUCAGUUGGUAGAGCGCCUGCUUUGCAAGCAGGAUGUCAGCGGUUCGAGUCCGCUUACCUCCACCUGGAGAGAAGAAGUAUUAUUACAAGUGAAGCAAGAAAAAGGCGGAAAAAUAGAUUGCCGUCGCCGAGCGAGUGUGAUAGACUAGAAAAGUUGGAAAUAAUCAGCACCUGAGAACAACAGCUCAGACUGCUGGAAGUAAUUCCAGCGUUGAACCUUGAAAACUGCAUAGCAAAAAGCGUGAAAGUAGAAACGUAGAACGAGCACGUCAAAAGCGUGAAGCGGGAACGGAGAAAACAGACACCAAUGAUGAAUAGUGGUCAAGCUAAAAAGGGCUGAUGGUGGAUACCUAGGCACACAAAGGCGAAGAAGGACGUGGCGACCGACGAAAAACUCCGGGGAGCUGGAAGCGAGCAAUGAGCCGGAGGUAUCCGAAUGGGGAAACCCCAAGCACAGCCUGUUGAAUAAAUAGACAGGCGUGAGCGAACCUGGCAAACUGAAACAUCUUAGUAGCCAGAGGAAAAGAAAGAAAAAUCGAUUCCCCAAGUAGUGGUGAGCGAACGGGGAAGAGCCUAAACCAGUUGAUAGAUCAACUGGGGUAGUGGGACAGCGAAAUGGAAUCUUCAAGCUAGACGAAGCAGUCAAAAGCUGCACCAAAGAAGGUGAUAGUCCUGUAGUCGAAAGUAGAAAAGAUACUAGCUGCAUCCCGAGUAGCACGGUACCCGAGGAAUUCCGUGUGAAUCAGCGAGGACCACCUCGUAAGGCUAAAUACUAAUGUGUGACCGAUAGUGAACCAGUACCGCGAGGGAAAGGUGAAAAGAACCCCGCAAGGGGAGUGAAAUAGAACAUGAAACCAUCAGCUUACAAGCAGUGGGAGGACGAUUCAACGUCUGACCGCGUGCCUGUUGAAGAAUGAGCCGGCGACUUAUAGGCACUGGUAGGUGAAGACGCAAAUGUCAUAGCCACAGCGAAAGCGAGUCUGAAUAGGGCGAUGAAUCAGUGUUUAUAGACCCGAACCCGGGUGAUCUAACCAUGUCCAGGAUGAAGCUUGGGUAAAACCAAGUGGAGGUCCGCACCGACCGAUGUUGAAAAAUCGGCGGAUGAGGUGUGGUUAGGGGUGAAAUGCCAAUCGAACCCGGAGCUAGCUGGUUCUCCCCGAAAUGUGUUGAGGCGCAGCGGUUGUGAAUAAAGUCUGGGGGUAAAGCACUGUUUCGGUGCGGGCUGCGAUAAGCGGUACCAAAUCGAGACAAACUAAGAAUACCAGGCGAACACACAGCCAGUGAGACGGUGGGGGAUAAGCUUCAUCGUCAAGAGGGAAACAGCCCAGACCACCAGCUAAGGCCCCCCAAAUUGUCACUAAGUGAUAAAGGAGGUGGGAGUGCAUUGACAACCAGGAGGUUUGCCUAGAAGCAGCCAACCUUAAAAGAGUGCGUAAUAGCUCACUGGUCAAGCGCUCCUGCGCCGAAAAUGAACGGGGCUAAGUGACAUGCCGAAGCUGUGGGAUAUGUUACAUAUCGGUAGGGGAGCGUUCUGUAGUAGGUUGAAGCACUAGCGGCAAGCAGGUGUGGACGAAGCAGAAGUGAGAAUGUCGGCUUGAGUAGCGAAAACAUUGGUGAGAAUCCAAUGCCCCGAAACCCUAAGGGUUCCUCCGGCAGGUUCGUCCGCGGAGGGUAAGUCAGGACCUAAGGCGAGGCCAAACGGCGUAGUCGAUGGACAACGGGUGAAUAACCCCGUACUAAGUAUCAGUAGUGCAGAGGGACGGAGAAGGCGAAUGUCAGCCGGAAGUUGGUUACCGGUUCAACUGUCCAAGGUGAUGAGAAGCGGAGAAAACGCUUCGAGCCAAGGCGGGAGUACGAGACCCUAAGGGGUCGAAGUGGCAUAGUCAAGCUUCCAAGAAAAGCUCGGUGGCACGAUAACUGAUAAUUACCUGUACCCGAAACCGACACAGGUAGGGAGGUUGAGAAAACCAAGGGGCGCGAGAUAACUCUCUCUAAGGAACUCGGCAAAAUGGCCCCGUAACUUCGGAAGAAGGGGUGCCCACGAGAGUGGGUCGCAGUGAAGAGAUCCAGGCGACUGUUUACCAAAAACACAGGUCUCCGCUAAGUCAAAUGACGAAGUAUGGGGGCUGACGCCUGCCCAGUGCCGGAAGGUUAAGGAAGUCGGUCAGGGAGGAAUCCUAAAGCUGGCGACUGAAGCCCCGGUGAACGGCGGCCGUAACUAUAACGGUCCUAAGGUAGCGAAAUUCCUUGUCGGGUAAGUUCCGACCCGCACGAAAGGCGUAACGAUCUGGAUGGUGUCUCAGAGAGAGACUCGGCGAAAUAGGAAUGUCUGUGAAGAUACGGACUACCUGCACCAGGACAGAAAGACCCUAUGAAGCUUUACUGUAGCCUGGAAUUGGGUUCGGGCUUGGCUUGCGCAGGAUAGGUGGGAGGCGUUGAGACUACCCUUGUGGGGGUAGUGGAGCCAACGGUGAGAUACCACUCUGGCGAAGCUAGAAUUCUAACCACUAGCCGUGAUCCGGCAGUGGAACAGUUACAGGUGGGCAGUUUGACUGGGGCGGUCGCCUCCUAAAAGGUAACGGAGGCGCGCAAAGGUUCCCUCAGGCUGGUUGGAAAUCAGCCAUCAGAGUGUAAAAGCACAAGGGAGCUUGACUGCAAGAGCAACAACUCGAGCAGGUAGGAAACUAGGCUUUAGUGAUCCGACGGCACUGCGUGGAAGGGCCGUCGCUCAACGGAUAAAAGUUACUCUAGGGAUAACAGGCUGAUCUCCCCCAAGAGUCCACAUCGACGGGGAGGUUUGGCACCUCGAUGUCGGCUCAUCACAACCUGAGG